rnacentral:misc_RNA from 1 species
GAUGAAGAACGUAGCGAAACGCGAUACUUGGUGUGAAUUGCAGAAUCCCGUGAACCAUCGAGUCUUUGAACGCAAGUUGCGCCUCAAGCCAUUAGGUUGAGGGCACGUCUGCCUGGGCGUCACAUAUCGUUGCCUGAUGCCAGUUUCCUCGUGAUGGGUGACUGUGCAGGGCGAAUGAUGGCUUCCCGUGAGCAUUGUUGCCUCAUGGUUGGUUGAAAAUUGAGUCCUUGGUAGGGAGCGCCGUGAUAGAUGGUGGUUGAGUGACGAACGAGACCCAAUCAUGUGAGACCCCUACCGAAUUUGGCCUUCAUGACCCACAUGCGUCUUUGGAACGCUCAUGACGAGACCUCAGGUCAGGCGGGGCUACCCGCUGAGUUUAAGCAUAUCAAUAAGCGGAGA